CACCCAGUCAACCCCGCGCUGCGAGGGUUAGAGACAACAUCGCGUCGGUACCAGUCCCCCCGUCGGCAUGACAACCUUUAUCUCCUCUCCCACCCCACACGCUUGGACCCAGGCCCUGGGAAGGAGGGGCGACAGGAACGUGUUCCCACUGAAGCCGUAAAGCACACCACACAAGAAACGCUGCUGUUCUGAGUCCAGCAUGUUGUGAGGAGGCCCAAGCGGGCCACAUGGAGGUGUCGGACCAGUCCCAACAGCCACGACGUGGCGAAGAGCCAGGCCCCAGACGUCUGGGCCAACCAAGUCAGCCCCAGCCGCCCCAGCCCUUCACAUGCGCCCCCUCCAAGCGUCCAUGGGGGUGGAGAGGCUGCCCUCCCUUCGUGGCCUGCCCCACUGUCUACUCAUAGGCUGAUGACAAGCAUGGAAUAAUGAGCAUAAGAAAAUGUUUUUCUUCAUGAUACUUCCACACCGUGUGCUUGAAGAGAAAGGUCCUUUCUUGUAUUGGAUUAAUUCCAACUUUUUUUUUAAACAGGGGAUUGGGGGGAAGUUUUUUGGCGAUUAGAAAAAAAUGCUUGUCUUCUGAGCUCUCUCCCAUAAACCUGUAUGGUUUAUGGAAUGUGUAAGAGGGGUUUUUUAAAUCUUCAAAUGUAAAAUUAAACCAGAAAAAAAAAAAAAAAAAGACUUGGUGGCUUAAGAGAACAAUCCUUUAAUCUCAUGCUCCCAAGUCUGUAGGCUGGAGAGAGGUUCUGCUCCUUGAGGCCCAGGCUGGGAGGGGCACUGGCCAUAUUCUUACCAUACGGAGCUGGAAGGUUCCAGAAGGACAGGGAAAACCCACAAUGCCUGUGGAGGUCUACAUACGAAAUAAAAAAUUGAAGGGUAAAGACAGCAUGUCCAGCAGAGACAGGGAAGGUGGAAGGCAUAAAAUAG
ensembl:lncRNA